AAACUAAUCCUUUGAUCCAUUUUCUGCAUAAUAUAACAUGUUUUCAGUGUGAAUCAAUCAAAUGUUUUCAGGUUAUGAUAGUUUUGCUUCACCUGCUGCACCUAACUUCUGCACACCUGGAGUGAAAAUUCCCCACAGAAAGACCACUGUUUUAUCAGAGUCUCCAGAAAGUAAACAUUUGGAUGUUCCUAAACACACAACAGAAUUACCUCCACUUGAUACAAAAUCUCAGGAAAUACAACCUCUGCAUGUAAGUGCUCCUAAGAUACUGCCAGAUAAUAAUCUUAUAAAAGACAGUGUUCAACCUGUCCUGGGUUCAGACAAAUAUCUGGAAUGUACUGAAGAACCUCCUCCUCCAGCAAUGCCAGUAUAUGAGGACCUCUUCAGUUCACUAUUACCACCGCCUGAAAUAACUGUGAUUCCAAACAACCUCUUGCAGAUUUUAUCCCGGUACAAUCCAAAUAUAAAAGUACCCAGGUCAGCUGCGAAAGGAACUAAAGAAGAAAAUGCUUCACAAUUUGAAGAAAAGCUAUUUCUUUGUACUGAUAACAAAGA
rnacentral:lncRNA from 1 species